AACUUUCGGCAACGGAUCACUUGGCUCUCGCAUCGAUGAAGAACGCAGCGAAAUGCGAUAAGUAAUGUGAAUUGCAGAAUACAGUGAAUCAUCGAAUCUUUGAACGCACCUUGCACCCAUUGGAAUUCCAAAGGGUAUGCUCGUUUGAGUGUCAUUGUACUCUCACACUCCAAUUUUGGAGAAGUGGACUUGGGUGUUGCUGCUUUGCAGUGGCUCAUCUUAAAUAUGCUAGUGCAACUCAUAGUUGGAUAUAGUACAGCGUGAUAAGUAUCUUCGCUGGCACCUCAUGAAGAGGGUAUCUGAUUGGGAGCUCUGUGCUUCUAACAGUCCUGUCUGGGACAAUCUCUGACAACUUGGCCUCAAAUCGAGUAGGACUACCCGCUGAACUUAAGCAUAUCAAUAAGCGGAGGCU
rnacentral:misc_RNA from 1 species